GGAUGUGAGGGCCAUCUGGCUGUGACAACUGUCACCCCAUUGAUCGCCAGGGUUGAUUCGGCUUAGCUGGCUGACUAGGCAGGAGUCCCCUUCCUCCCUCAACGCUCCAUAUGUGUCCCUCCAAAGCUACAUGCUCAAAGAGGACAACUACCCCUGAUAGAGGAGGACCAUUCCUCGGUCAAGGGUAUACAAGUAGCUGCGCUUCCCUGCUAGAACCUCCAAACAAGCUCUCAAGAAAAAAUAACUUUUGGUCUUAGAAUUUCUUAAAUCAAGAUUGAAAUAGCCUGGCUGGUGGUGCACACUA
rnacentral:snRNA from 1 species